rfam:Salmo salar isolate Sally breed double haploid chromosome ssa22, whole genome shotgun sequence.
CCUAAUUGAUCCUGCAAGUCGCUCUGGAUAAGAGCGUCUGCUAAAUUACUAAAA